rnacentral:rRNA from 1 species
AGGACGAACGCUGGCGGCGUGCUUAACACAUGCAAGUCGAGCGGAAAGGCCCUUCGGGGUACUCGAGCGGCGAACGGGUGAGUAACACGUGAGUAACCUGCCCCUAGCUCUGGGAUAGCUCCGGGAAACCGGGAUUAAAUACCAGAUACGACCACUUUAGACAUCUGUCGUGGUGGAAAGGAUUCCGGCUAGGGAUGGGCUCGCGGCCUAUCAGCUUGUUGGUGGGGUAACGGCCUACCAAGGCGACGACGGGUAG